AUGGAUGGCGCCCUAGCUUUGUGCCGCACCUCCUCUGAAUGUGUCACUACUUUAGAUGUUUGGGUGUUGCAGGACUAUGAUGCUGAAACCUGGGGCUUCAUGUACAAGAUUAACUUGUUAGCGAUGGAGGCAUCAACACUGCUUGAUUUGGGGAUCAAAUAUGUUCCUAGCAUGGCUGUGAUCAACGAGCGUGAGCUGUUGAUUGAGCAGUGUCCUAGCCGUCUCUUGCAUUGUGACAUUGAUGGAGUAUUUUUAGGAAACGUGGAAAGUGAAGAGCAUGAAAGCCACUUGACACUUACUAGGCAUCGCUUCCAGGAGAGCAUGAUUUCACUUUCAUUGUUUGAGACACAAAAACAAGAAGCUGUGAACAAGGAGCCUCUAUUUGCUAUUGUGCUAUAA
rnacentral:rRNA from 1 species